rnacentral:rRNA from 1 species
AAUAUUGCACAAUGGGGGAAACCCUGAUGCAGCGACGCCGCGUGAGUGAAGAAGUAUUUCGGUAUGUAAAGCUCUAUCAGCAGGGAAGAUAAUGACGGUACCUGACUAAGAAGCCCCCGCUAACUACGUGCUAUCAGCCGCGGUAAUACGGAGGGGUCAAGCGUUAUCCGGAUUUACUGGGUGUAAAGGGAUCGGAGACGGUAGGAUAAGUCAGAUGUGAGAGCCCGGGGCUCAACUCCGGGAUUGCAUUUGAAACUAUCCGACUAGAGUGCAGGAGAGGUAAGUGGAAUUCCUAGUGUAGCGGUGAAAUGCGUAGAUAUUAGGAGGAACACCAGUGGCGAAGGCGGCUUACUGGACUGUAACUGACGUUGAGGCUCGAAAGCGUGGGGAGCAAACAGG